UAGGGAAUCUUCCACAAUGGACGCAAGUCUGAUGGAGCAACGCCGCGUGAGUGAAGAAGGGUUUCGGCUCGUAAAGCUCUGUUGUUAAGAGAACGUGGGUAAGAGUAACUGUUUACCCAGUGACGGUAUUUAACCAGAAAGCCACGGCUAACUACGUGCCAG
rnacentral:rRNA from 1 species